CAGUAGCCGCGGGAAUACGUAUGUCGUGAGCGUUAUCCGGAAUUAUUGGGCGUAAAGCGCGCGCAGGCGGAUCAGUCAGUCUGUCUUAAAAGUUCGGGGCUUAACCCCGUGAUGGGAUGGAAACUGCUGAUCUAGAGUAUCGGAGAGGAAAGUGGAAUUCCUAGUGUAGCGGUGAAAUGCGUAGAUAUUAGGAAGAACACCAGUGGCGAAGGCGACUUUCUGGACGAAAACUGACGCUGAGGCACGAAAGCCAGGGGAGCAAACGGGAUUAGAUACCCCUGUAGUCCCUGUCUCUUAUACA
rnacentral:rRNA from 1 species